rnacentral:rRNA from 1 species
GACGUAGGGCGCGAGCGUUGUCCGGAUUUAUUGGGCGUAAAGAGCUCGUAGGCGGCUUGUUGCGUCGACCGUGAAAACCCGUGGCUUAACUGCGGGCUUGCGGUCGAUACGGGCGGGCUGGAGUUCGGUAGGGGAGAUUGGAAUUCCUGGUGUAGCGGUGAAAUGCGCAGAUAUCAGGAGGAACACCGGUGGCGAAGGCGGGUCUCUGGGCAGUUACUGACGCUGAGGAGCGAAAGCAUGGGGGAGCGAACAGG